rnacentral:rRNA from 1 species
AACGUAGGAGACAAACGUUAUCCGGAAUCAUUGGGCGUAAAGCGCGUGUAGGCGGCCCGAUAAGUCCGCUGUGAAAGUCCAGGGCUCAACCCUGGAAUGCCGGUGGAUACUGUCGGGCUCGAGUCCGGAAGAGGCGAGUGGAAUUCCUGGUGUAGCGGUGAAAUGCGCAGAUAUCAGGAGGAACACCAAUGGCGAAGGCAGCUCGCUGGGACGGUACUGACGCUGAGACGCGAAAGCGUGGGGAGCAAACAGG